GACGAACGCUGGCGGCGUGCUUAACACAUGCAAGUCGAACGGAAAGGCCCUGCUUUUGUGGGGUGCUCGAGUGGCGAACGGGUGGGUAACACGUGAGUAACCUGCCCUUGACUUUGGGAUAACUUCAGGAAACUGGGGCUAAUACCGGAUAGGAGCUCCUGCUGCAUGGUGGGGGUGGGAUAGUUUCGGUGGUUGGGGAUGGACUCGCGGCUUAUCGGCUUGUUGGUGGGGUAGUGGCUUACCAGGGCUUUGACGGGUAGCCGACCUGGGAGGGGGACCGGCCACAUUGGGACUGAGAUACGGCCCAGACUCCUACGGGAGGCAGCAGUGGGGAAUAUUGCACAAUGGGCGGAAGCCUGAUGCAGCAACGCCGCGUGCGGGAUGACGGCCUUCGGGUUGUAAACCGCUGUCGCCUGUGACGAAGCGUGAGUGACGGUAAUGGGUAAAGAAGCACCGGCUAACUACGUG
rnacentral:rRNA from 1 species